CCUACGGGAGGCAGCAGUGAGGAAUAUUGGUCAAUGGACGAAAGUCUGAACCAGCCAAGCCGCGUGAAGGAUGACGGUCCUAAGGAUUGUAAACUUCUUUUAUAUAGGAAUAAAAUGAUCCACGUGAGGGAUUUUGUAUGUACCAUAUGAAUAAGGAUCGGCUAACUCCGUGCCAGCAGCCGCGGUAAUACGGAGGAUUCGUGCGUUAUUCGGAUUUAUUGGGUUUAAAGGGAGCGUAGGCGGGAUGUUAAGUCAGUUGUGAAAGGUUCGGGCUCAACCGGAGCAUUGCAGUUGAAACUGGCAGUCGUGAGUAGAGGAGAGGUGGGCGGAAUGCGUGGUGUAGCGGUGAAAUGCUUAGAUAUAGCGAAGAACUCCGAUUGCGAAGGCAGCUCACUGGAGUGGAACUGACGCUGAGGCUCGAAAGUGUGGGUAUCGAACAGGAUUAGAUACCCGGGUAGUC
rnacentral:rRNA from 1 species